AGUCAUGGGUGUACAUGGGCUUGGGUUAACCUAAUCUCCCAUAGAGUUGGUCAAGGGAGUUUUGAGUUUGGGUCACUUGACCCGGUGUUUAUAUAUACAUGUACUUGUAUAGGUUUGAUGAAGCCAAGAAAAAAGACAACUCUUUCUCCCAAGUCUCUCUCUCUCUUCUUCCUCUCUCUCCAGCCAUCUUCCAUGCCCCAGGAGCAAGAAACCCUAGG
rnacentral:lncRNA from 1 species